GACGAACGCUGGCGGCGUGCUUAACACAUGCAAGUGGUGCGACGAACCAGGGCUUGCCCUGGGGCAAAGCCGCGAACGGGUGAGUAACACGUGAGUAACCUGCCCCGAUGACCGGGACAACCCGAGGAAACUCGGGCUAAUACCGGAUGUGGCGCACAGGCAUCAGCCUGUUCGCUAAAGGAAGCUUCGGCCUCCGCAUUGGGAGGGGCUCGCGGCCCAUUAGCUUGUUGGUGGGGUAACGGCCUACCAAGGCAACGAUGGGUAGCUGGUCUGAGAGGACGAUCAGCCACACUGGGACUGAGACACGGCCCAGACUCCUACGGGAGGGCAGCAGUGGGGAAUCUUGCGCAAUGCGCGAAAGCGUGACGCAGCAACGCCGCGUGGGGGAAGAAUGCCUUCGGGUUGU
rnacentral:rRNA from 1 species